GUGGGGAAUAUUGGACAAUGGGCGAAAGCCUGAUCCAGCCAUGCCGCGUGUGUGAAGAAGGUCUUCGGAUUGUAAAGCACUUUAAGUUGGGAGGAAGGGCAGUAAGUUAAUACCUUGCUGUUUUGACGUUACCGACAGAAUAAGCACCGGCUAACUUCGUGCCAGCAGCCGCGGUAAUACGAAGGGUGCAAGCGUUAAUCGGAAUUACUGGGCGUAAAGCGCGCGUAGGUGGUUUUGUAAGUUGGAGGUGAAAUCCCCGGGCUCAACCUGGGAACUGCAUUUGUGACUGUAUAGCUAGAGUACGGUAGAGGGGGAUGGAAUUCCGCGUGUAGCAGUGAAAUGCGUAGAGAUCUGGAGGAAUACCGAUGGCGAAGGCAGCCAUCUGGCCUAAUACUGACACUGAGGUGCGAAAGCAUGGGGAGCAAACAGGAUUAGAUACCCGUGUAGUCC
rnacentral:rRNA from 1 species